rnacentral:rRNA from 1 species
UACGUAGGGUGCAAGCGUUAAUCGGAAUUACUGGGCUUAAAGGGUGCGUAGGCGGCGCGGAAAGUUGGGUGUGAAAUCCCUCGGCUCAACCGAGGAAUUGCGCUCAAAACUACCGUGCUCGAGGGAGAUAGAGGAGCGCGGAACUUAGGGUGGAGCGGUGAAAUGCGUUGAUAUCCUAGGGAACACCGGUGGCGAAAGCGGCGCUCUGGAUCUCAUCUGACGCUGAUGCACGAAAGCUAGGGUAGCUAACGGG